rnacentral:rRNA from 1 species
GGCGAGUGAACCGGGAUGAGCUCAAAUUUGAAAUCUGGCGUCUUUCAGGCGUCCGAGUUGUAAUCUAUAGAGGCGUUUUCCGCGCCGGACCGCGUCCAAGUCUCUUGGAAUAGAGUAUCAAAGAGGGUGACAAUCCCGUACUUGACGCGACAACCGGUGCUCUGUGAUACGUUCUCAAUGAGUCGAGUUGUUUGGGAAUGCAGCUCUAAAUGGGUGGUAAAUUCCAUCUAAGGCUAAAUAUUGGCGAGAGACCGAUAGCGAACAAGUACCGUGAGGGAAAGAUGAAAAGCACUUUGGAAAGAGAGUUAAACAGCACGUGAAAUUGUUAAAAGGGAAACGAUUGAAGUCAGUCGUGUGGGAAGUAUUCAGCCGUCUCUGGCGGUGUAUUUGCUUCUCACGGGUCAACAUCAGUUUGAUCCGGUAGAAAAAGGCGGGAAGAAGGUGGCACCCUCGGGUGUGUUAUAGCUUCCUGUCAUAUGUGCCGGACCAGACUGAGGAACGCAGCUUGCAGCAAUGCCGGGGUUCGCCCACGUACAAGCUUAGGAUGUUGACAUAAUGGCUUUAAACGACCCGUCUU